CAACAAUCCCAUCCCCCCACCCCAGGAGAGCCAUUGGCCAGGAGAGAGAGGUCAGGCGGGCUGUGGCCUCCAGCCACCAGGAGGUGACUCAUCCUUCCCGUGAUGACAGGUGACAUUCCUCCUUGUGCCCAGGGGGACUUUGGCCUGAGAUAAAGGGAGCUGGCCUCCUGCUUCUGGGAAGAGGAGGACAAACAGCCUUUCUCUGUGAGGUGUGAAUCACAAUGCGGGGGACAGUAACGGUCACGGUACAACCCGCUGGCCCUCCUGGCCGUCCCUCACCUUGGUGCCGGCCGCGUUUCGGGUCAGCUCUCUCCCACUGCAAGGAACCUUCCUGUGCGUUGUGGGGUGCCCGGCUGCACCCUGGCGUCUGCCCAGUUUGGUGGGAGCCGUGGGGGGCUGCGUUGCUCUGCACAGUGAAGGGCCUGGACCGCUGUUUCUGGCUCCCGCGCUCUGAGCUGCCACUGGCUGCACAGUGUCAUCAAGUCAUUUCCUAUGUAAACAGCUGUCUGGCACCGCGUCAGCGAGUCACAGUGAAAAUGAAACCUCCUUCCCAGCCUGCAACCUGCCCCUCAGUGAGGAAGGAUGGGGGCAAUGUCGGAGUGCUCAGAGCUUAUCAGGAUGCGGAACGAAGGACGAAGGACGCUGUUAAGUGGGUUUGUCCUUAAAGUGACUUCCUAGUGUAAUUCAUGAGCUGCUGGCCAGAACAUGAGGCACAUCCUUCGAAAGCACAAGGGAACCCAAGGAAGGCGAGGAGGGGAGGAGGGAAAGGAGAGAAGCUUCCAUCCUUGUCCCUUGUGGGAUCCUUAGAAAGGGUUAAUAUCCUUCAUAUACAAAGAGUUUUUGGGAAACAAUAGGAAAUGGCAAACCCCUUAUUAUAAAAUCAGCUAUUUACCGAGGCGAAUGCAAAUGUGAAGACAAGCUCUGCUCUGCCAGGAAUCAAGGAAAUGCAAAUCAGAGCUGCAGUGACUUAUCAUUCCUGCCUAUCAGAUUGGCAAAGACCAAAAAAAAAAAAA